rnacentral:lncRNA from 10 species
CAAUUCCGUUAUGGAAAUGACUUGGACAGGUACAAUUUUUAUGUUCCUGUUAGUUCACUUGUGAGCUGGGGUUGGGGAAAAAAGAAUUGCCCAGUGGGGUAUGAAGGACACAAGAGUUCCUAUUCCCUGCUGAGAUUCCAGGAACUCAGGAGGUCAUUGUGUCCUGAAAUGUCCUAAAUGGCCACAAUCCCUGCUGGGUUCCCUCUGGUUUUCUCUUGAGUUGGAUUCCAUUCCCUCCCACUCUUCCUCUCCUGAGGGAGUCACAAGGAAUGGGCCAGCUGGAUGUAUGGAGGGAUUCAGCUUCAUUCAUGAUUCAGAGAUAGAGGGGUGGGGGCUUAGGUGGAUAUCAUUCCAUCCACACCUAUUAGACAGCCCAGAGGAGGGAAGGAAUGUGCCUGUCUGCUGUGUAGCAGAGUGUGUUGUGCACAGUGGAGCUGGAGGUCACGGUUGAGAGCUGGAAAGGUAGCUUCCCAAAGUCAUCAAGGAUGCAGGCUUCUGUAUUGCUGUUUCACCAUCCUGAGUUUUGGCUUUCACCCUCCUGGAUACUUCAUGGUCUCUAGUGAGUGCUGAAACUAUGGACCCUGGACCCACUCUGAAGGGAGCAGAAGGAGCUGGUCUGCCCCCCUUUAACAAGUCUUCUCAUCAGUCUCAUUCAGCAUUUCUGAUUCCAUCCCAACCACCACAUGGGAGACACAUGGCCACACCUAGCUGCAAGAGAAGCCAGGAAAUAUAGCUUAUCUGUUACACAUAUUGUCCAGGUUUUUGUCCCUGAGGAAGAAGGGGAGGAUGGAUUUUGGAUGGCAGUUAGCAUCCUCUACCACCCAGUUGGAAGGCUCUUGUAAUAAUCCCAGGGAGAGGUAAUGUUGGCUUUUACCAGUUGGUAGUGGAACAGAUGGUGCAGGUGGUCAGAAUCUAUAAUAUUUUGAAGGUAAAUCUGACAGCAUUUGCUGAAAAAUUGUGUGUGUGUGAGAGAGAGACAGAGAGAGAGAGAGAGGAAUUUCUGCUAUGGAAUAAAUGUUUGUGCCCCCCUAAAAUUCAUAUUUUGAAGUUCUAAUCCCCAAUGUGAUGGUAUUUGGAGGUGGGGCCUUUGGGAACUGAUUAGGUCAUGAGAGUGGAGCCCCCAUGCAUGGGAUUAGUGCCCAUUAUGAGAAGAGACCUCAAAGAGAUGACUGUUUCUCUGCCAUGUGAAGAUACAACAAAAAAGGAGGCUGUUGUCUGCAAACCAGGAAGCAGUCCCUCACCAGACACUGAAUCUGCUGGCACUUUGAUCUUGGAUUUUCCUGCUUCUACAAUGGCGAGAAAUAAACGUUUGUUGUUUAAGCCACUCAGUCUACCGUAAUUUGUUAUAUCAGCCCAAGCUGAUAAGCUUUGACUAAGAUCAAAGGGAGGAUGAUGCCAGGUUUUUGGCCCGAGCAGCUACAAGAAUGGGGUUGCUAUGGACUGAACUGAGAAAGGCUCUUGAAGGAGCCCCGUUGGUGAGGGAGUGUUGUCUUGGCUGUGUGAAGUUUGAGAGGCUUAAUAGACAUCUUGGUGGAGCUUUAAAGCAGGCAGUUUGAUACAUAAGGCUAAAGUUCUGGGGGUGUUUCUGGGCUGGAUGAUGUUUACAGCCAAAAGAUUGCAUGGGACUACCUUGGGCAUGGUACAG